AUUUUUCUUUUCUUGGAUUCAGGUUCUUUAUCUAGAAUAUGAGGAAACUGUAUUAGAUGAAAUAUGAUUUAUCUUACUGCUUCAUGGUUCUAUGGGUUGCUGCCAUUUUCAACUAAGUCUUCAGGUGUACAUUCUAUUAAUUAAUCCAGGCUAGGUAGCCCUAAAUCUAAUUUCCUUUAGUCCCAUUUGAUUAAGUUACUUUCUACUUCUUAUUUCCAGGUGGACCCACCCCUAGCUUUUCACUACUAACUACUAAUGAAAUUAAAGUUAAUUCGAAAGAGUCAUAGAACCAGACACUUUUCUUUCAGAAAGGAUGGGAUCUGCCACCCAUCAUUGGAUUAUAAGUCAUUUGGGGCACUCUGCUGAAAGGACAUUACCAAUAAACUAAAAUACUUCCCCAACCUAUCAUUUCAACUAAGAAUUCAUGGACAUAUCAAUGUGGCAGUGUAUUCUCAAGCUUUCUUCCCUACGAAUAUGCAGAAAUUUUACUGGGUAUACACAUCCCUAUAUGUCUAUUCUGCAUUGGAUCCAAUAUAAUUUGAAUUAACUUGAUCAAACAAAACUCUUUCUUCUAAAGUCAUUGAAGUCCAGUGUCAAGAAAAAAGCCAGGAUGACUAGAGAUGGCUAAGGAUGCAGUGGAUGAUCUUGGCUUCUUUGAUGUGUAACCAAGUCUUCAUAUGCUUGUAGCAGAACUAGUUCACUGAAGGACUUGAGUAUUGUUGGUUAACCUCAACCUGGUUUAUCCUGUCUUCUGAAAUGUUUUUUUACUGGGAUGUGGCCACUACAAGAUGCUACUGCUUCUUCAACCCACAGGAGAUCAUCUUUCACAUCCAAUUUCCCUUCUUUGUGCUAUUGGAAACUGUGGCCUAACUCCAGAGAAGAGAAAGCAAUCCCUAUUGGAAAUGAAGAUAAAGAGGGAUUCAGGAGUGUGCCAAGGCUAUUUUCUCAGGAGAACAUCUCUUUUAAAGUAAAGUAACAACACACUAAAGCAGCCAGUAUCAUAUUUUUGGAAUAUAAAUUAAAAAGGUCAGUACCAUAUUUUGGGAAAUUUUUUAAAAAUGGCAUCUGCUUUUUUGCUAUCACACCCUUAUUCAAAUUCACAUCGUAUAUUCUAUCCACCAAGUGGCUAAUCCAUUUAAUUUAUUCAAAAAUCUAUGUUUCUAAAAAAAUCUAUGUUUCACAUUAAUUUUGGAUGAUAUUUUUCAGAUAUAUUUCACAAGCAUUUUGGGGUUUGGGAUUUAUAUUACUUUUUUGGAAGGUCUUUGCAAAUUCCUUAAGAUCCAUGCCUCACCUGCACUUAAGUACACGUAAACACACUUUUUAAUAUUAAAAAAAAAAAUGUUGCAUCAUAAAUUUUCUCUCUUCCCCCCACCCCAACUGAGAUAGUAAGCAAUAUGACACAGAUUUUACAGGUGAGAUCAUGUAAAAUAUUUCCC
rnacentral:lncRNA from 1 species